rnacentral:rRNA from 1 species
UGCAGUCGAGCGGCAGCGACAUGACCGAACCUUCGGGGGACGUUAUGGGCGGCGAGCGGCGGACGGGUGAGUAAUGCCUGGGAAUAUGCCCUGAUGUGGGGGAUAACCAUUGGAAACGAUGGCUAAUACCGCAUAAUCUCUUCGGAGCAAAGAGGGGGACCUUCGGGCCUCUCGCGUCAGGAUUAGCCCAGGUGGGAUUAGCUAGUUGGUGGGGUAACGGCUCACCAAGGCGACGAUCCCUAGCUGGUCUGAGAGGAUGAUCAGCCACACUGGAACUGAGACACGGUCCAGACUCCUACGGGAGGCAGCAGUGGGGAAUAUUGCACAAUGGGGGAAACCCUGAUGCAGCCAUGCCGCGUGUGUGAAGAAGGCCUUCGGGUUGUAAAGCACUUUCAGUCGUGAGGAAGGGUGUGCAGUUAAUAGCUGUACAUUUUGACGUUAGCGACAGAAGAAGCACCGGCUAACUCCGUGCCAGCAGCCGCGGUAAUACGGAGGGUGCGAGCGUUAAUCGGAAUUACUGGGCGUAAAGCGCAUGCAGGCGGUCUGUUAAGCAAGAUGUGAAAGCCCGGGGCUCAACCUCGGAACAGCAUUUUGAACUGGCAGACUAGAGUCUUGUAGAGGGGGGUAGAAUUUCAGGUGUAGCGGUGAAAUGCGUAGAGAUCUGAAGGAAUACCGGUGGCGAAGGCGGCCCCCUGGACAAAGACUGACGCUCAGAUGCGAAAGCGUGGGGAGCAAACAGGAUUAGAUACCCUGGUAGUCCACGCCGUAAACGAUGUCUACUUGGGAGGUUGUGGCCUUGAGCCGUGGCUUUCGGAGCUAACGCGUUAAGUAGACCGCCUGGGGAGUACGGUCGCAAGAUUAAAACUCAAAUGAAUUGACGGGGGCCCGCACAAGCGGUGGAGCAUGUGGUUUAAUUCGAUGCAACGCGA